rfam:Tetraodon nigroviridis, WGS project CAAE01000000 data, contig: CNS0BYQF, chromosome: undetermined
UUCUCGUUAGUAUAGUGGUCAGUAUCUGUGCCUGUCACGCGGAAGACCGGGGUUCAAUUCCCCGAUGGGGAG